AAGAGUUACUUUGCGAGGCUCCGUCUGCUCCGGCGCCGGUAACUGACAAGACGCGGGCGCCCCGGGCAGUGAAUGCAGCCCAGCCCCCAGCAGGGCAUUGCCAACGCUCCUACUUGGUCCCCUGCCUCAGAGCCAGAUGAAGCUGGCAUAGCACCUGAAACUGAUCUCCCACCUAGAA
rnacentral:lncRNA from 1 species